AUUGAACGCUGGCGGCAGGCCUAACACAUGCAAGUCGAGCGGUUGAGGGUAGCUUGCUACCCGAUGCAGCGGCGAACGGGUGAGUAACGCGUGGGAAUCUGCCCAGUAGUGGGGGACAACAGUCGGAAACGACUGCUAAUACCGCAUACGCCCUACGGGGGAAAGGGGGGGAUCUUCGGACCUCCCGCUAUUGGAUGAGCCCGCGUCGGAUUAGCUAGUUGGUGGGGUAAAGGCUCACCAAGGCGACGAUCCGUAACUGGUCUGAGAGGAUGAUCAGUCACACUGGAACUGAGACACGGUCCAGACUCCUACGGGAGGCAGCAGUGGGGAAUAUUGGACAAUGGGGGCAACCCUGAUCCAGCCAUGCCGCGUGUGUGAAGAAGGCCUUAGGGUUGUAAAGCACUUUCAGUGGGGAGAAAAGUGAUUCACCUAAUACGUGAGUCUAUUGAUGUUACCCACAGAAAAGCACCGGCUAACUCCGUGCCAGCCGCCGCAGUAA
rnacentral:rRNA from 1 species